rnacentral:rRNA from 1 species
AUUGAACGCUGGCGGCAGGCCUAACACAUGCAAGUCGAGCGAGCGGCGGACGGGUGAGUAAUGUAUGGGGACUGCCCGAUAGAGGGGGAUAACUACUGGAAACGGUGGCUAAUACCGCAUACUAUCGGAUAACCCAUAUGGGAUUAGCGAGUAGGUGGGGUAAAGGCUCACCUAGGCGACGAUCUCUAGCUGGUCUGAGAGGAUGAUCAGCCACAUGUGGACUGAGACACGGCCCAGACCCCAAGGGAGGCAGCAGUGGGGAAUAUUUCAAAAUGGGCGCAAGCCUGAUUCAGCCAUGCCGCGGGUAUGAAGAAGGGCUUAGGGUUGUAAAGUACUUUCAGCGGGGAAGCGUUACCCGCAGAAAAAGCAACGGCUAACUCCGGGCCAGCCGCCGCGGUAAUAC